rnacentral:rRNA from 1 species
AAAUUGAAGAGUUUGAUCAUGGCUCAGAUUGAACGCUGGCGGCAGGCCUAACACAUGCAAGUCGAACGGUAACAGGAAGCAGCUUGCUGCUUUGCUGACGAGUGGCGGACGGGUGAGUAAUGUCUGGGAAACUGCCUGAUGGAGGGGGAUAACUACUGGAAACGGUAGCUAAUACCGCAUAAUGUCGCAAGACCAAAGAGGGGGACCUUCGGGCCUCUUGCCAUCGGAUGUGCCCAGAUGGGAUUAGCUUGUUGGUGGGGUAACGGCUCACCAAGGCGACGAUCCCUAGCUGGUCUGAGAGGAUGACCAGCCACACUGGAACUGAGACACGGUCCAGACUCCUACGGGAGGCAGCAGUGGGGAAUAUUGCACAAUGGGCGCAAGCCUGAUGCAGCCAUGCCGCGUGUAUGAAGAAGGCCUUCGGGUUGUAAAGUACUUUCAGCGGGGAGGAAGGGAGUAAAGUUAAUACCUUUACUCAUUGACGUUACCCGCAGAAGAAGCACCGGCUAACUCCGUGCCAGCAGCCGCGGUAAUACGGAGGGUGCAAGCGUUAAUCGGAAUUACUGGGCGUAAAGCGCACGCAGGCGGUUUGUUAAGUCAGAUGUGAAAUCCCCGGGCUCAACCUGGGAACUGCAUCUGAUACUGGCAAGCUUGAGUCUCGUAGAGGGGGGUAGAAUUCCAGGUGUAGCGGUGAAAUGCGUAGAGAUCUGGAGGAAUACCGGUGGCGAAGGCGGCCCCCUGGACGAAGACUGACGCUCAGGUGCGAAAGCGUGGGGAGCAAACAGGAUUAGAUACCCUGGUAGUCCACGCCGUAAACGAUGUCGACUUGGAGGUUGUGCCCUUGAGGCGUGGCUUCCGGAGCUAACGCGUUAAGUCGACCGCCUGGGGAGUACGGCCGCAAGGUUAAAACUCAAAUGAAUUGACGGGGGCCCGCACAAGCGGUGGAGCAUGUGGUUUAAUUCGAUGCAACGCGAAGAACCUUACCUGGUCUUGACAUCCACGGAAGUUUUCAGAGAUGAGAAUGUGCCUUCGGGAACCGUGAGACAGGUGCUGCAUGGCUGUCGUCAGCUCGUGUUGUGAAAUGUUGGGUUAAGUCCCGCAACGAGCGCAACCCUUAUCCUUUGUUGCCAGCGGUCCGGCCGGGAACUCAAAGGAGACUGCCAGUGAUAAACUGGAGGAAGGUGGGGAUGACGUCAAGUCAUCAUGGCCCUUACGACCAGGGCUACACACGUGCUACAAUGGCGCAUACAAAGAGAAGCGACCUCGCGAGAGCAAGCGGACCUCAUAAAGUGCGUCGUAGUCCGGAUUGGAGUCUGCAACUCGACUCCAUGAAGUCGGAAUCGCUAGUAAUCGUGGAUCAGAAUGCCACGGUGAAUACGUUCCCGGGCCUUGUACACACCGCCCGUCACACCAUGGGAGUGGGUUGCAAAAGAAGUAGGUAGCUUAACCUUCGGGAGGGCGCUUACCACUUUGUGAUUCAUGACUGGGGUGAAGUCGUAACAAGGUAACCGUAGGGGAACCUGCGGUUGGAUCACCUCCUUA